GCAACAGGAUGGCGCAAGCACGGGGCAGAGGCAGUGGAGUCCUGAAGAUGAGAAGGCAUCACUUUGACUACUGUAUUAGUUCCCUGUGGUUGCCAUAACAAUAAAAGGAAGAUUAGCCCUGAGCUAACAUCUGCCGUCAAUCCUUCUCUUUUUGCUGAAGAAGAUUGGCUCUGAGCUAACAUCCGUACCCAUCUUCCUCUGUUUUAUAUGUGGGAGGCCUGCCACAGCAUGGCUUGCCAAGCGGUGCCGUGUCGGCACCUGGGAUCUGAACUGGCAGACCCCAGGCUGCUGAAGUGGAACGUGCGAACUUCACCACUGCGCCAACGGGCCGGGCCCAGCUAAUACUUCUGAUUUCUUUUCCUGUGUGCUCUAUGGAAUCACCUUUGCAUCAAUUACAUCGGGAAAAACAGUUUGGAGAGAAUUAAUCUUGUCAUGACAAUUAGCAGUUUGGAUUAUACUUUUCCUGACUAAUGUCUAUAUAUAUAUAAAUAUAGAUAUUUAGAAAUAAUUUGUAAAUAUAAUUCCUCAAUAUCCUUUUAAACUUUUAUAGGAUAUCUUAAAGGUCUUUUUAUGUCAAUAUAUGAAGAUAUAUCUCAUUAUUUUAAACUGUUGCAUAGUAUGUCUUAGUGCGGAUGUUUCAUAGCCUGCUUAGCAAUUCAUCUCUUACUGCACCUUUAGGUUAUUUCUAGAUUUUCACAAUAACAAACAACAUUGCUGUGGAAGUCACUUCUCUUCUUUUCACAGGUGUGUGGUUUUCCCUGGGGUUUAGACUCAGCAAGGCGAAAGGACAUAUGCAUUCUGAAGUUUCUUACAUACAUCCGAAUUUUUCACAGAACUGCUUUAACAGUUUUCCCUCUUACAAAUAUAAUAUGAGAAUAACGUCUACAUUUUCCUGAUCAUAUCGUGAAUUUGGGCAUUUUUCAUGUAUUUACAAGCCAUUCGAAUGCUUUUUUCUGUGAAUUACUUGUUUACAUCCUUUGCUCAUUAUUCUACUGGUCUGCUUGCUUUUUUCUUAUUCAUUCGAAAAGUGUUUAAUCUGAGUAUUUAAAUAAUAAUCCUUUGUUAUACAUGUG
ensembl:lncRNA